AUGACCUCGAACGACCCAGUCAGAUGGACCACAAGGAGCUUCACUUCAGCCAGCUUUUCUUCCUUUCCUGACUCAUCACACUUCAGAGUAUGCUGGAAGAGUUUGGGGAAGUUACCAGUGCAGAGCUAGAGAAAGCAGGAGAAAAGGGAGCAUCAGCCCCUGUGUGGUCAAGUGAGGAUACAGUAAGAAGGCAGCCAUCUACAAGCCAGGAAGAGAAACUCCAGGCUCAGAAUAAACAAGAACCUGACCAUGCUGGCAUCUUGCUCUUGGACCUUCAUCCUCCAGAACCGUGAGAAAUAAGUGUCUAUUGUUUAAGCCACCCCAUCUAUGAUAUUUUGUUAUAGCAGCCUGAGCUGACUAAAACUCAUCUUAAAAACUCUGUGCCUGGGGCUUUUUUUUUUUUGAGGAAAGAUCUCUGAUUACAGGUUCAAUUUCUUGAAUGAGCAUUGUGUUAUAUUCAGACUUUUCUAUUCUUGAUUCAGUUUUGGUAACUGAAAUACUUUAGAAUCAGCAAAUUAGACCUAUGUGCUCUUGGAAAAGAGUAUAUGUUUAAGGUUUAUUAUUGGCAAGGUUUUCUAAGACAUCAUACUCAAAAACUAAAUGUUCUGGAGAAGUCUAUGAGGAGAAAAAAAGUUGUAGGAGUUAUACUUAUGGAACUUGAAAUUGCCACUGUAACGCAGUAUUUUCUGGGCUUAUGGCAGGGGUCCAGGAAGAAGAGUGUCAAGGAUUAUAGGUAAUGGGGAUAAUUAGAUGGACUUACUGAGCUGUGCAGUAUUUUAUGAUGGAAAAUUGCCCAUGGGAAAAGCUGCCAAUUCAAGCACAGAUUUGGAUUUCCCCUUUCCUUCAUCCAUUUACAAGCAUUUGUUGUGUGCUUAGGGAGAUCCAGACACUCUGCUCUGGGUGCUUUCUUUCCGUACUCUAGACGUGAUCACCCUAAGUUUAACUUCUAAGAUUCCAUUUGCACUCAACUUUCUACAUUCCUUUCUUUCCUGUACUCUCACUGUGAAUAGCUAAGCUUUUCUACUAUAUUCAUGAACUAACAGGGAUGAAAAAGAGAACACUGUUAGUUAUACAAUGACCUUAAAAAAAAUUUCUUUAAACCUCUUUGGCUAUAUUUUCCAAAACAGCUCCUCUAAUAGAAGGCUGUAGCAGAGCAGGGUGACUGGGCCUUAAAGACUCACACGUCAGCAGGAUGAGCAGUUUCCUACCUAGGGUCCAGUCCUACAAAGAUAUAGUGCCUUUCAGGCCUGCAGGAAGGGCAGCACAGGCCACUUACUUGGUAAAGUGGUAUACUAAUCAUUAAGGGGACUAACUUCAUUGUGUGUUUUACAUGUAAAUGGGGGCAUCCCAUUUCAAGCUGCAGAAAUGAUGUCAAUUUUUAUAAAGUUAAGGAGUCUGCUUAUAGCAUAUGGGGCCCACAGUGAGGUAACUUCCUAAGCACUUGUAAAAGAAGGAAAGAAGCUUGUUCUUUAAAGCUUUAAUUUAAAGAGCAACACUUAAUAGAAAGGGGCAGAGAUGUAUAAACUCAUGUGAAGGAGUAAAAAUGACCCUCAGGCUAGUAGGACCUCACUAUGAUCCAACUACAUAUUUUUACACACAUAAAGGAAGCACGUCUGUCCCAGCAAGGCUUGGUGGGUGUGAAAGCCCAGGGCAGGAGCACUACGGAAUUAAACAGCAGAGUACUGACCAGAGGACAUGUCUGGCCAUAGGACUGAGUUUUGGCCAUAGGACUUUGAAU